CUACGGGUCGCUCCAGUGGGGAAUAUUGGACAAUGGGGGAAACCCUGAUCCAGCAAUGCCGCGUGUGUGAAGAAGGCCUGCGGGUUGUAAAGCACUUUCGGUUGGGAGGACUGCUUCUAGCACUAAUAUUGUUGGAAGUUGACGUUACCUUCAGAAGAAGCACCGGCUAGCUCCGUGCCAGCAGCCGCGGUAAUACGGAGGGUGCAAGCGUUAAUCGGAAUUACUGGGCGUAAAGCGCGCGUAGGCGGCUAGAUCAGUCGGGUGUGAAAGCCCCGGGCUUAACCUGGGAACUGCAUCCGAUACUGUCUAGCUUGAGUACAGGAGAGGAGAGUGGAAUUCCACAUGUAGCGGUGAAAUGCGUAGAUAUGUGGAGGAACACCAAUGGCGAAGGCAGCUCUCUGGCCUGAUACUGACGCUGAGGUGCGAAAGCGUAGGGAGCAAACAGGAUUAGAUACCCGAGUAGUC
rnacentral:rRNA from 1 species